rnacentral:pre_miRNA from 1 species
GAUAUCAACUGAAAAAGUCAUCAACAAUAAAAUUGUAUAACUCAUCAAGAUCUAUAACUUCUAUUUUGGUCAUUUCUUCAUCCGAUAAAGUGAUUUGUAACAUUGUUCACAAAAUGUACACAUCUCUAUGAUCACUUUAUCGGAUGAAGAAAUUAUCAAAAUAGAAGUUAUAGAUCUUGAUGAGUCAUACAACUUUGUUGUUGAUGACUUUUUCAGCUGAAAUC